GAUGAAGAACGCAGCGAAAUGCGAUAAGUAAUGUGAAUUGCAGAAUUCAGUGAAUCAUCGAAUCUUUGAACGCACAUUGCGCCCGCCAGUAUUCUGGCGGGCAUGCCUGUUCGAGCGUCAUUACAACCCUCAGGCCCCCGGGCCUGGUGUUGGGGAUCGGCAGAAGCCCCCUGUGGGCACACGCCGUCCCUCAAAUACAGUGGCGGUCCCGCCGCAGCUUCCAUUGCGUAGUAGCUAACACCUCGCAACUGGAGAGCGGCGCGGCCAUGCCGUAAAACACCCAACUUCUGAAUGUUGACCUCGAAUCAGGUAGGAAUACCCGCUGAACUUAAGCAUAUCAAUAAGCGGAGGA
rnacentral:misc_RNA from 1 species